GUAAGAUCUCUUGUCUGCCUCCAAGUUAAGAUGUCCCUUAUUCUUCCUUCGUCUUCUGCCAUGAUUGUGAGGCCUCCCUAGCCAUGUGGAACUUCAAGAAUUCUAUCACUGAACUACCAAUGCCUUUGGAAGUAUCCAAUAUUUUGGUGGUUUUGCUACCUAUGGGAUCAUGCAUAUCAGCACUUGGAAAUAAAUGUUGAAAGCAGCAGCUCUGCCACCUGUCCUCAAUAACGGGAGGGCUUUCACCUCUACAGGAAAGAAGACAGAUGGGCGACCUGAUCUAUGCUGCUUGUAAGCAUGGUAAUGACACACUUCCUGUCAAACAAGUUGGUGACAUUGACUAGGAAUGGCUUCUGGGAAAAUGUCAUGGAAGCUUUGUUACCAUCUGAGCAAAAUGGAGAUGUUUCUUGACUGAAAUACUUAGAGUGUGUGUGUGUGUGUGUGUGUGUGUGUGUGUGUGUUUAAUUUAUGUGGCCACAGUUAUUACAUGGAAGACACAUAUUUUAAUUUUGGCCAUAAAAUAUACUCAGCACCAUAAGGAAGCACCUGGAGAGCUGUGUUCCUUUUCCUGAGGCUUCCCUGUUCCUUGUGAUAACUUACAUACUUGGAAUUAUAGAAACUUAAUUUUGGUUAAAGUCUCUAAUUUGUGUGAA
rnacentral:lncRNA from 1 species